AUGUCUCAUGCUUUCCAUUUCAGUUGUUGGCUCAAGUUUUACUUGGUCAUUGCGUGUUUCCUGUGCCAAAUACCUAACAUAAAGGCAUUCUAAAUGUUGUACUCAGUAUUCACCUACUGAUGCUCUCCGAGAGGAGGGUGUUUUUGGUGGACUUCAAAUCAUGCAUUGUGUUUCACAUCCUUUGCAUGCAUGUUGUUCAUGCUUUGGUUGUUGACCCACGAUGUUGUGUUCGAUCUCUUGGAUAUGGAAAGUUGACAGGGUAUGGGCCUUCGGCCUUUAAUUCCCCAAAUCACGCGUUCGACGCUAUUAGCGAACGACUGUUGUGCUUGUGUUGGACGAGUCCUUUGGACUUGGCUCAUACGGCAUCCAUGUCGAUGAGGAA
rnacentral:misc_RNA from 1 species